rnacentral:rRNA from 1 species
AUUGAACGCUGGCGGCAGGCCUAACACAUGCAAGUCGAGCGGAUGAGUGGAGCUUGCUCCAUGAUUCAGCGGCGGACGGGUGAGUAAUGCCUAGGAAUCUGCCUGGUAGUGGGGGACAACGUUUCGCAAGGAACGCUAAUACCGCAUACGUCCUACGGGAGAAAGUGGGGGAUCUUCGGACCUCACGCUAUCAGAUGAGCCUAGGUCGGAUUAGCUAGUUGGUGAGGUAAAGGCUCACCAAGGCGACGAUCCGUAACUGGUCUGAGAGGAUGAUCAGUCACACUGGAACUGAGACACGGUCCAGACUCCUACGGGAGGCAGCAGUGGGGAAUAUUGGACAAUGGGCGAAAGCCUGAUCCAGCCAUGCCGCGUGUGUGAAGAAGGUCUUCGGAUUGUAAAGCACUUUAAGUUGGGAGGAAGGGCAGUAAGUUAAUACCUUGCUGUUUUGACGGUACCAACAGAAUAAGCACCGGCUAACUUCGUG